rnacentral:ncRNA from 1 species
AAAGCAUGGCACUGAAGAUGCCAAGACGGCAUCAAUAAACAGCCCGAGGACAAAAGACUUAGUCCUAACCUUACCGUUAGUUAUAGCCAGAUACAUACAUGCAAGUAUCCGCACUCCAGUGUAAAUGCCCUUAGACUCUUAUAUUUACUUAAGAUAGAGGAGCAGACAUCAGGCACGCCCCCGCAGCCCAAGACGUCUUGCUUAGCCACACCCCCACGGGUAUUCAGCAGUAGUUAACAUUAAGCAAUAAGUGAAAACUUGACUUAGUCAUGGCUACCCUCAGGGCCGGUAAAUCUUGUGCCAGCCACCGCGGUCAGACAAGAGGCUCAAAUUAACUGUCAUACGGCGUAAAGAGUGGCAUGAAACUAUCAAAGCAACUAAGACCAAAACUCAACUAAGCUGUCAUAAGCUAAAGAUGCAUCUAAGACUACCUCUAAAGACAAUCUUAGCUCAACCUCACACGACGGACUAAACGCCACGAAAGCUAGGGCCCAAACUGGGAUUAGAUACCCCACUAUGCCUAGCCCUAAAUCUUGAUGUGCUACUCCCACCUAGCCAUCCGCCUGGGAACUACGAGCACAAAC